rnacentral:misc_RNA from 1 species
GAUGAAGAACGCAGCGAAAUGCGAUAAGUAAUGUGAAUUGCAGAAUUCAGUGAAUCAUCGAAUCUUUGAACGCACAUUGCGCCCCCUGGUAUUCCGGGGGGCAUGCCUGUCCGAGCGUCAUUACAACCCUCAAGCUCAGCUUGGUAUUGGGCCCCGCCGACCCGGCGGGCCCUAAAGUCAGUGGCGGUGCCGUCCGGCUCCGAGCGUAGUAAUUCUUCUCGCUCUGGAGGUCCGGUCGUGUGCUCGCCAGCAACCCCCAAUUUUUUUCAGGUUGACCUCGGAUCAGGUAGGGAUACCCGCUGAACUUAAGCAUAUCAAUAAGCGGAGG